AGCUUUGCGCAGUGGCAAUAUCAUAACCAAUGAGGGUCUCCCGAGGUGUGAUUAUUGCUAGUUGAAAACUUUAACCAAUAUCCCGCCACGAUGAAGUGAAAUAAUCUUUGUCGUCGGCAAUUUUUGAUAGCUCCAUCAGGAG
rnacentral:snRNA from 1 species